AUUGAACGCUGGCGGCACGCUUAACACAUGCAAGUCGAACGGCAGCAUGGUGUGUGCUUGCACACACUGAUGGCGAGUGGCGGACGGGUGAGUAAUGCGCAGGAAUAUGCCUUAAAGAGGGGGAUAACAUGGGGAAACUCAUGCUAAUACCGCAUGUGCUCUGAGGAGCGAAGCUGGGGACCGAAAGGCCUGGCGCUUUAAGAAUAGCCUGCGUCUGAUUAGCUAGUUGGUAGGGUAAAGGCCUACCAAGGCGAUGAUCGGUAGCUGGUCUGAGAGGAUGGACAGCCACACUGGGACUGAGACACGGCCCAGACUCCUACGGGAGGCAGCAGUGGGGAAUAUUGGACAAUGGGGGAACCCGUGAUCCAGCGAUGCCGCGUGUGUGAAGAAGGCCUGAGGGUUGUAAAGCACUUUUAGUGGGGAGGAGGGCUUACAGGUUAAGAGCUAGUGAGUUGGAC
rnacentral:rRNA from 1 species